rnacentral:rRNA from 1 species
GCAAGUCGAGCGGCAGCACGGGUACUUGUACCUGGUGGCGAGCGGCGGACGGGUGAGUAAUGCCUAGGAAUCUGCCUGGUAGUGGGGGAUAACGCUCGGAAACGGACGCUAAUACCGCAUACGUCCUACGGGAGAAAGCAGGGGACCUUCGGGCCUUGCGCUAUCAGAUGAGCCUAGGUCGGAUUAGCUAGUUGGUGGGGUAAUGGCUCACCAAGGCGACGAUCCGUAACUGGUCUGAGAGGAUGAUCAGUCACACUGGAACUGAGACACGGUCCAGACUCCUACGGGAGGCAGCAGUGGGGAAUAUUGGACAAUGGGCGAAAGCCUGAUCCAGCCAUGCCGCGUGUGUGAAGAAGGUCUUCGGAUUGUAAAGCACUUUAAGUUGGGAGGAAGGGCAGUUACCUAAUACGUAAUUGUUUUGACGUUACCGACAGAAUAAGCACCGGCUAACUCUGUGCCAGCAGCCGCGGUAAUACAGAGGGUGCAAGCGUUAAUCGGAAUUACUGGGCGUAAAGCGCGCGUAGGUGGUUCGUUAAGUUGGAUGUGAAAGCCCCGGGCUCAACCUGGGAACUGCAUUCAAAACUGUCGAGCUAGAGUACGGUAGAGGGUGGUGGAAUUUCCUGUGUAGCGGUGAAAUGCGUAGAUAUAGGAAGGAACACCAGUGGCGAAGGCGACCACCUGGACUGAUACUGACACUGAGGUGCGAAAGCGUGGGGAGCAAACAGGAU